UGCAAUGUAUUUUAUCGAAAAUGCUUAUUUUACACGUAAGAGAACCUUGGUUGAGGCUUUGUGA
rnacentral:tRNA from 1 species